AAACGGGUUGGAAGUGGUGUCUUUGAUAACGAAGUGCCUCAACUGAGCAACUAGAUACAUAUAUAUGUAUAUACUGUGUGUGUGUGUGUGUGUGUGUGUGUGGAAUUGCUUUGGGUUUAAAACAGUGUUAUACUUUUGAUACUUUUAGGUGGCUAAUGUCUUGGUAAGGAUAAAAUAGAAAUAUGGCAAAGUUGCAUUUGAUUUUGAGAGAUACUACGGGCAAAGCCUGACAUUCGGUUUGAUUACUAGAGGUUUUAAUAUUUACAGCUCCUCGGCUAUUGUAUUAAUAGAGCCACUCUACUUUCUGGCACCAUGGAAACCUUUUAUAAUUCGAAUGUUCUCAAAAAGAACACUGUGUGAAAAUGAUCAGCCCCAAAUAUAAACUACGUUUUAAAAAAGUAAAUACAGUUUAUGUUGGUUCAUCCUCUGGUUUUUGGUUGUCUCUUUUGGGAAGGAAGCAGUAGGGCCUUUUGGAAAUGUGGUGACCAAGUAACACCAAAGUUAUCUGGUUACAGGCCAUGCAGAUGUAGCCUUAUGUGCUUUUGUCGUGCUGUUGGUGAUCUUGGGACUGCCUGUAUCUGACCAGUCCCCAGAUGAAACCUCUUAAAGGUUCCGUUUUGGAUUCUGUUCACCUCAUGUUGAUACUUGUACCAGGUCCUUCCUCGCCCCAGGCCUUUGCACCUGCUAUUUCUAGGUGAAUUGUCCCCCUGCUUGCCAGUCUCACACGCUCCUCUUUCUGGCUAACACUUCCUCCAGGUCUCAUCUUCCAUGUCACUUUCAGAGACCUUUCCAGUCUCAGUCAGACUCUCUAGCACCUGUGGUAGUCCUUGUUGGCACUUUGCAUACGUAGAAUGAACCCUGUUAGUGUGGCAGUUCCUUAAAGCCUCCGUCCCUCACUGCGCUGUCAGCUCCAUGCAGGGAAGGGCUGUGGCUGUCUUGCUUAGUCUGCUGUGUCUCCAGUGCCUGCAUUGAGCCUGGCACCUGCCAUGGGCUGAUGCUGUUCAUUUUGAAUGCCGUUGCCAGUCCUUUCUGUUAUCCUCUGUGCCCAUGCUUGGUGGAUGCAGAUGGGGACUGAUUCAGGAGAUUAGGUGAGCCAUUCAGUGUCACCUCUGUUAGCACCGGAAGGCACAUUGGGUUAGAGCCAGUUCUCAGUUAUUUCUAAAAAUGGGGCAGGAGAGCAUAGAUGAUUGAAGUUGCUCUCCCACGCCUUGCUGUGAGUUUUCUUUCUUUCUUUCUUUUUUGGAUAAAAAAGAUUAGAGGAGGUGACUGGAGAUGUAUGAGAUACCCAACACUAGAGACAUUUGAACUGGAUUGCUUAUUUGCCUUCUUUUCUUACCACAUGAUCAAGUAAGUCCAAGGAAGUAGAUUGGACCCCGGAUGGGGAGUGAAGGUGGAUGAGGUCCCAGAGAGGAUGGCAGGUUAAGAAAGGAUUUAGAAAAAGUGGUCAAGCUAUGCAUUCACCAGUUGAAGAAAGUCAUCAGACUGUGAUGAAGCUGGAGAUGAGGAGCAGAACGCUCUCAUCACCUGCCUGGUCCUAGCGGUUCUGCACACGGGUGCGUGAUUGAUCUGUUGGCUCCUAGGACAGCCUUUGCCUGGAUAUAUUCACAGUCUGUUUUGAAGCUGUACAGAGAAGCCCACUUGCGUCAUUCUGAAGAUUCAGUGAGUCAGCGUAGUCCCGAGGGAGCAGUAAUGGCCUUAAACAGAAACUUGGAAUGAAAAAUAGCUGUGCAUUUAAAGACAUAGUACUUUCUUCCUAUGACUUCAUGUGGUAAUGGUAAGAUUAAUGCACAGAUAACCCUCCUUUAACGGGGACCUUAAACACAUUCGGAGUGUUUUUUUUUUUCCCCCCUCUUCAUUUUUCUUACUUAACCAUUUAAAAUAGGCUAUCUAGUUGGGUGCUUGGUCUGGGGGGACUCUGUUGAAAUAAUUCUCCACCACUCACUUGCCCUGUGACAGACAGACAGACACACACAAUUGCUUUAGGACUUCUCACGGUCAUUCUUAACCUCAGUCUUGUUGAUAUUAAUUGGGAUUUUCAGUGGAGAAGAAUCACCAGAGAAGAAUCUUUAACAGUUGACUGUAUGUAUAUAUACUAUUUCAGCCAGAAUUUUAAAUUGGCAUCUUUCAAUAGAAUUGCAGAUAACACCUUACUAUAAAAAACACCAAGGGGAUUAUCCAAAUUCCUACUUGAAAAUGUCUUUUGUAUUAGCAUAUUUGCCAGCUGCAUUAUCUGUUAGUGUGUAGUGAAAGUAUAUUAUCUUGGCUUAUUUUGAGGUUAGAGAAUUGCCAAUGAAAUUUUUCCUUUAACUAUCUAAAUUUUUGUUGCCCCCCCCCCCCGCUAGUCUCCUAAACAGUGAGGCUUCUGGGCAGGAAAUGAAGAAGAAGAGGAGGCAAUAUAGAAUACUGCAGUGGUUUUCAAAGUGUGGCAGCCUGCGUGGGGAAUAUACAGAGGACUGUGUGUGUGUGUGUGUGUAUCUGAAGGAAGUCUGUGAAUUAAUGCAUACUCUCAUUAUGCAGCACAACAGUAUUUUCUAUUUUAUUUCAUAUUUGAAAAAUGCUGGCCGUGACUUACUAGUGGAUUUCAUAACCCAGAAUGUAUCCUGAUCCAAGUUUGAAGAGAUGGUUGUAUAAAGAGUGUGGGCACUGGGAGUUCCCUGGUGGCCUAGCUGUUAGGGAUGUGUUGGUGUCACUGCUGUGGCUAAGCUCACUGCUGUGGUAUGGGCUCGAUCCCUGGCCCAGGAACUUCUACAUGCCACAGGCAUGGUCCAAAAAAAAAAAGAGCAUGGGUUCUAGAGUUUGUCUACCCAGAAAUCCUAGCUCUAUCCUGUCUUGACCAGAAUUACACAGUUCUGGGUUGUCCCUCUAAAGCUUUGGCUCUGACUCCUCUGAGAUACAAAUGGUGAUAACGCACACGCACCUCAGGAUUACUGAGAGGAUGUGAAGAGGUAAGGCCCUAACGCUCUCAGCUCUUAGCACAGUGCCUGCAGAGAACCCCCCGAAACUGGAGCUGCUGCAGUGGUAGUUGUGACUGUCCUUACUGAGAUGCUCUAUUGGCCUCAUGGGAAGUAGUGGAAUUUCUUUCCCUGAAGGUGUUAAGAGGAAUAGAUUGUACUUAUCAAGAGCCUUUAUUUUCUUUUCUUAAUUUUUUAUUAUGAAAAAUUUCAAACCUGUUAAAAACAUGUAAGAAUAGUUCGAACAGCCACCCAUCUCUCCCUCACCUUGGUUCAUCGGUUCAACAUUUGCCGUCCCCUUUCCGUACUUCUCCUUCCACGCCACACUUCCCUUUCACCAGACCACCUGGAAGUGGGCUAUAGACUCAUGAUAGCCAAGAGUAAGGGCAUUCCCGUAUCCCACCGCAGCGCCCUUGCCACGCAUAAGAAGAUCAGCAUCGAUCCAGGGACAUUGUUCAACAUGCGGUCCGUAUUCAGGAUCCCCAGCUCUCAGCAACGCGGAGACCAUUCAGAGCAUUUAGAAUGAACUGAUGGCCUGUGAAGUUCCUGGCAGAGUGAGGACUCCUGUGAAGUUGAAGAUAACCACCCGAAGUGUAACUCUCCUGUGGAAUAUUAAAUCAGUUGUGUAUCCUUUGGCUUUCCUUUACGUGAGCUACGGAGAGCUGGUGAGAUGAGCUGGAUGUCAUGGCCACCUACGCUGUAGGACAGUCAUCACACCUGCUUUAGAGAUUGCAUCCUUUGCCCGUUCCCCCACANUAUAUGCUCUGAUAAUAAAAUGAGGUACCACAAAGAUACACCCCAAAAUGGAAAGUGGUGGAGCGGUAGGUUACAUUUGAGUUUAAAUGGCUGUGAAUUGGAAAUACGUAUUUGUUGGAAUUAAAAUGUGUUCAGGUAGGAAUUUAAGUUCUUCCCUCAAACUGAGAAUGACAAGGAUGUCUUUUAAGGAGAGAAUUUAAGACGAAUGGUAUGGAAGUUUAUAUGUGUGUGUUUUUUAAAUGCAUACACGCACAUAAGAAAAUUAAAGCGACGGGAGUUCCCGUCGUGGCGCAGUGGUUAACGAAUCCGACUAGGAACCAUGAGGUUGCGGGUUCGGUCCCUGCCCUUGCUCAGUGGGUUAACGAUCCGGCGUUGCCGUGAGCUGUGGUGUAGGUCGCAGACGUGGCUCGGAUCCCGCGUUGCUGUGGCUCUGGCGUAGGCUGGUGGCUACAGCUCCGAUUCAACCCCUGGCCUGGGAACCUCCAUAUGCCGUGGGAGCGGCUCAAGAAAUAGCAACAACAAC
ensembl:lncRNA